rnacentral:snRNA from 1 species
UUGCUUCUUGGCCUUUUGGCAAAAAUCAAGUGUAG